rnacentral:lncRNA from 1 species
GUCACGAUAAUUUUGCGACAAAAAUCAUCCGAUUUGGUCAUCGUUUAAGCAUUUUCCAAAUUGGAGAGGUCGUCGGAAAAUGGGAUUUCAGCAACCAGAAAAGUUGCUUUCUUUAAAAUCAAAAUUGGGUGUCUUUCGGUCUUCGAUCACACACAUAUUCUACCUCAAAACGAAGCCCUCUGAAAUACGAUCGCAACGGACCCAUAUUUGCAACGAUCUAGUGUCGAGGCUUCGAGAUAUGGCUUCUUGAACAAUGGGAUGUCUCUUCUUAAAAAUCUGCAACACAUGAGUUUCAAAACUCAAAUUCUAUCUAGAAAUUCUUUUGUCUCGAGCAUCAUCAUGAGACGUGUCAUAUAUAAAAACGAGGGGCUUGACAAGCUCCUAAACAUAUCAAAAUUUGAGAGCAAUUGGCCUUAAAAUGAGAAAG